rnacentral:lncRNA from 1 species
UUCUAGUCAUAAACUAAAGGAACAUGCCAGAAGCAAAUAAAAGAAAAAUUAGAAAACAAAAAUUAAACUAAAAAUGAAAAUAAAAAUAUAAUAAAAAUAAAUUGCUAAAUUAAUAAAAAUCGAGUGUUCCUAAUAUCUUAGUCCCCGGCAACGGCGCCAAACACUUGAUGGUUAUUAAACUAACUAUAAUUACAACAAAGGCAAGCG